AGACAUAGCACAGGUGGGGGGAGGGGCAGAGAGAGAGGGAGACACGGAAUCCGAAGCAGGCUCCGAGCUGUCAGCACAGAGCCUGACGCGGGGCUCGACGUGGGGCUCGACCUCACAGACCACGAGAUCAUGACCUGAGCCGAAGUCGGACGCUUAACCGACUGAGCCACCCAGACGCCCCCAUAGCACUGCACUUUAUAAAUGCCUCCUAUUAAGAGGCCUUUAUCUUACAGUUCCCCAAAUAGCUGGCAAACUGCCCAUGAAAUGGUCUCACUUGCAAAGUGUGAUGUCUCUGCCACCUCUCACUCACUUCAUGAUCCCCCUGCAUGCUGACUGCCCUGGCUCAUCAUAUUUCAAAGUGUUGUUGGGGUCUGGGUGAGAUGCUCACAGAAUUUCAAACGGUCUGCAAAACCCCAUCCCGUUGCAAGAUGGAUCGUGUUAAUGACCCCCUCUUCUAUAUGGCUGCCAGAGGCCAGCUCCCAUGGCUUAGAGACGGAGCUCUAUAAUUCAAAUUAGCUCACCGGCCUUUGCUCUCGACGCUGUGCCGCCCUAUUUACGAAAUCACUGUGUUAAUGCUGAAAUCACAAUGGGACGUGGUGAAGAUUUGUUUAGGACUCCAGCCAGUAUUGAUUUCCUGACAGUCUGAGCGAUGUUUCCCUUCCUUUCCUGGCAUUCCAGGCUUCUGGGGACAGGCUUUGAUAGAGCUAAGAUGUGGUCCACCUCGUGGUUAGAAAAUUGGGUCCCGAGGUCACCCAAGAACUUCUUAUUCUUUAGCCCUUGUCUAUUAAUAACAUUUAUUUAAAACUCCUCUAAGACCCUCACUUCCUACCCUCUGGAUGCGGGUUAUUCUCUGUGUCUGCAGAACUUAGAAGUGUACCUCAGCCAGCACGGAGGACAGAUUGGCACUCAUGUUCAGCUUUCUGGGCUGUGAUGUCGCGCUGUUCAGGACUGGACCAACCAACGAGGUCUACACAAAAGACUUCCAGCCACAGAGCCACUUUGUAACUCAACGUCCAACUAUCACUGCUUGGCGAUGGUGUGCAUUGUUUAAAUCCCUUCCUUCUGGGUUUUAAGAUGGAUUUGUGCAAUUAAUUGAAAAGACCAGCCUCACCUUGUUAAGGACUGUAAUGAGAGCAGAGUUUCUCAAAGCAUGGCAUGGGGACAUCUGUUCUAGAACCAACUGGGGAGCAUCUAUCCUGAUUCCAGCUCUUCUGAAUCCCAAUUCCCGAGGGAUCUUCAGUUUUAACAACCUGUCUGGGUAAUUCCUUGCACAUCAACUGUGAGAACCCUGGAAAGAUGGUUUGGAACUUCUUUACCCCUUGAUUUCUAAAGUGGCAUCACUUAACCUUCCUAAAUCUCUGCUGAGAACUUAUGAUACAUUCUGUGCUGCGCUGAAUGUCCAGUUCUGCUCAGCAGACAUCGAUGGAGUCUCUCCCAAGGGUCACACACUUCCCCGAGGUGCCAAGGUUGUUGUGCCGAGGCGUCGGGAUUUCUGAGUCUAAAGAGACAUGUAAAGGGCAAGGUAAAGUCGCAUUUAAUAGGGUUAAGUGCAAGUACAGAGUUAGCACAGAGGCUAGGGGAACACCGGGACAGAAGUUCUGCCAGACUAGCAGGAUGGGGGAAGCAGGCAGGGAAGGCCUCCUGGAAUGCCAAUCUCUGACCUGCAGGGGAUAGCGUCACCUGUCGCUUUCAGGGCACCUCCCACUGUCCUGAGCUCCUCAUUUUGUUAUCUCCUAAAAGAAAUUAGACCAGGAUCAGGAUGAUAUUUCUCCCCUACACACUCUCAUCCACAGCUUCAAUAAGAUCCCUCCUCCUUUGAUUAUUUGUGUACAUACUUUAACUUGUUCUUCUCUUGUUCCCUCUCCAUUUCUUUUUUCUUAUUUGCUGCCCCCUCCGCAGCCUCAUGGACACACACUGUUGCAUUUAAGACCUGUGAAAACAAGGACUGUUGACUUCAUUUUUGUAUCCAUCUGAAUGUCUUGAGAAUAGCAGAUACACCAGGGGCGCCUGGGUGGCUCAGUCGGUGAAGCGUCCGACUUUGGGCUCAGGUCACGAUCUCGCGGUUCGUGAGUUCGAGCCCCGCGUUGGGCUCUGUGCUGACAGCUCAGAGCCUGGAGCCUGCUUCGGAUUCUGUGUCUCCCUCUGUCUCUUCCCCUCCCCCAUGCACGCUGUCUCUCAAACAUAAAUAAACGUAAAAAAAGAGAAGAAUAGAUACACCAUAAGUAUUCAUUAAAUUGGAUGGAUUUGCUAUACCAUUUCUUAAAGUGCUUCCUUUAUAGCCAAAAGCUCCGUGUCUGUCUAUUAAAGACUUUGCAACCCUUUCCCUCGCACAUAAACAUAUCCAGAAGCUAAUAAGCCAAAGACAUGGUUAUUAAUAUCGAGAGUCGAGGAUGACUCAUGAGGCUCCUCCAACAAUCAAGGAUGAAAAUCUAAGGGGUUGGAGGACAAGCACUUAAUUCAGCUCAACACUCAUGAGCGGAACAGCCGUCCCCUGCCUGUCUUGCAGUGUGCAUGGUAUAUUAGAUUAGGGUCCUAUCCUUUCACACUUCAUAGUUCUCAAACAAACCUUUUCCAUCCCGUGAUGCGAUUUUCAUUCAGCCACCUUCUUUGUUGAAUUUAAAGCCUGUGAGUUUGGGGACUGUCUGUAUCGUUCACCAGUGGCCCAAGCGUCCCUUCCAAAUGAAGGCCGUCACAGUUGUCCCAUGUUACCAGUCGUGCGUUAGCAUCAGCGGGGCACAUUCUGCACAUUUAUGACUUCAGAGGAACAAGACGGGUAACCUCUGUUCUCCCUGCUCUUACCUGUUGGGAUGCGUGCUCACGUAACUGGCGAAUGGAUGAAUAGACUAUGGGGAAAACCCACUUGUUACCCUGUAAGGAUUUCUGUUCUAGAGGAAGUGGUGCAGGUGUGGGAAGAAAACAAUAUAAAACGGUGGUUAAGGAAGCACCGAGCUGGGAUAAAAAUGAAAGCUCCUCCAAGUUGAGGCUCUACGCUUCCUAAUUAGGGUUACUCAAGCUAGUGUGUGUGCGUGUGCGUGUGCACAGUGAUUUCAGCAGUUACCGCAUUUCCUGUCUAUCUGGAUGAAUCAUGUAUUUCUUUUCUCUUUUCUCUGCUCCAGGUUUGCCAAAAUUUGCCAACCAUGUAGGACGGCCUCUGACGAAUGACUUCAAUCUGAAUAUCCAGAAAUUGUCUGAUUUGCAGUCUGCUUGGAAUCAACUGCUAUAUUGGAAGGGAGUGAGCAACUACAUUAUUGAGAAAAAACCAUUUUAAUUUGGUUAUGUGUCUUUUUUUUUUUUUUUUAAUCUCAUUUUUGCUUUCCUAAAUUGUAAUCUGCUCAGGAAAAGAAUAUCAAUUCGUCUUUACUUUGCCAACGCUAGCAGUUGAAAGGGAACUGGCUGGGAAAUGUGAUAGAGAACCAACCACGUGGGUAGAUGGUCCCCUCUUAUUCCCUGAGGCAUUGUUUCAUACAUGAAUUUUCAUCUAGAGAAUUCCAUGAGGUGCUUUUAACAAUGCAAAUUCCUGGGCCUGCCUACAAACACCUAUCCCUUGCUGAACUGUUUAAUUAAUACCAACUUGAAAGUAAAUAUGGGGCGCCUGGGUGGCUCAGUCAUUUAGCAUCCGACUUCAGCUCCGGUCAUGAUCUCACAGUUCAUGAGUUCGAGCCCCGUGUCAGGCUCCGUGCUCACAACUCAGAGCCCGGAACCUGCUUUGGAUUCUGUGUCUCCCUGCCUCUCUCCCUCUGCCCCUCCCCUGCUUACUCUCUCUCUUUUUUUCUCUUUCUCUCGAAUAAAUAAAUAACAAAGUAAAUAAAUUGCAGUUUGCACAUAAAAUACAGUGAAGAAAAAGUUCAUUCUCCCCAGGGAGUAGCUUCAUGGGAGUUGGUGACAGUAGAUGAGGGUUCGUGGAAAAUGGGCAGGAGAGAGCCUCUCUCUGGGAAAGCACCUUCUUCUUUUGAACCAUUUCCUUGCCAAGGUUGCAACCUUCUUGGGGUUCAUGAUCGCCUUUCACUCAUGUGCUAUUAAAAAUAGAAGAGAAGAAGAUCUUUAAGGGUCAAAAAAAAAAAAAAAAGGCAAAACACCUGAAUGCCUUGACACGCAUAAACACGGUGCAAUUGUACAGCCAGCGAAAGUUGUACAAGACGCUCCCUGUCAUUGCUCUCACUUGGUGCCUGUUCUCGAAGUAAAUGUGGCCUGCGAUUCAGAUUUGUUCUGCAUGCUGUUCUCCAGCUAGGCAGUUCUUUUUUUCAAAAAUUUUUUAAUGUUUUAUUAUUUAUUUUUGAGAGUGAGAGAGACAGGACACCAGUGGGGAAGACACAGAGAGAGACAGAGGGAGACACAGAAUCUGAAGCAGGCUCCAGGCUCUGAGCUGUCAGCACAGAGCCCGAUGCGGGGCUCGAACUCACCAACCGUGAGCUCAUGACCUGAGCCAAAGUCGGACUCUUAAGCGACUGAGCCACCCAGGUGCCCCGAGAGCCUGCUGUUUUGAUGCUGUGUCAGGAAAGCACACCUUGAGAAUUGCUUAUGUUGCCUGUCUUCUGUGUUGUGCACGGUUUUAUAGAGGGUCACUACGUUUACAUGAUAAUACCUUUCAAAGUUAGAUGCAGCAAUACAAAUAAUUGUUUACGAGUA